GACGAACGCUGGCGGCGCGCUUAACACAUGCAAGUCGAGCGAUGAAACUUUAACAGAACCCUUCGGGGCGGAGAUAAAGUGGAUUAGAGGAGGACGGGAGCGUAACCCGUGCGUAACCUGCCUUUGACGUAGGGAUGGCCUCGGGAAACCGGGAUUAAUACCACAUAAAAGCAUAAUGGAACAUGUCAUCAGGAUCAAAGGUCCGGUGGUCUAAGAUGGACUCGCGUCCCGUUAGCUAGUUGGUAGGGUAAAAGCCUACCAAGGCGACGAUGGGUAGCCGGCCUGAGAGGGUGAACGGCGACAUUGGAACUAAGAAACAGUCCAAACUCCUACGGAAGGGAGCAGUGGGGAAUAUUGCACAAGGGAGGGAACUCUGAUGCAGCGACGCCGCGUGAACCAAGAAGGCGGUCGAGUAGUAAAGUUCUUUUAGAUGGGAAGAUAAUGACGGUACCAGAAGAAAAAGCCCCGGCUAACUACGUG
rnacentral:rRNA from 1 species